rnacentral:rRNA from 1 species
GACAGAGGAUGCAAGCGUUAUCCGGAAUGAUUGGGCGUAAAGAGCUCGUAGGCGGUUUGUCGCGUCUGCUGUGAAAACCCGAGGCUCAACCUCGGGCCUGCAGUGGGUACGGGCAGACUAGAGUGCGGUAGGGGGAGAUUGGAAUUCCUGGUGUAGCGGUGGAAUGCGCAGAUAUCAGGAGGAACACCAAUGGCGAAGGCAGAUCUCUGGGCCGUAACUGACGCUGAGGAGCGAAAGCAUGGGGGAGCGAACAGG